CAAAUGCUAGUCAUUAAAGGAGUGGGAACCUCCACAGCGGGUUAAAGAUGUGCAAUGACUGUUGGGGUUUGUGAACUACUACCACACAUUUAUUCCCCUCUUUGCUG